AACCAUGCAGAUUUCCAGAUGGCAAAAAAAAAAAAAAAAAAAAAAAAAAAAAAAAAAAAAAAAAAAA
rnacentral:ribozyme from 13 species